UACAGAGGUCCCGAGCGUUGUUCGGAUUCACUGGGCGUAAAGGGUGCGUAGGUGGCAUGGCAAGUUUGAUGUGAAAGCUCAGGGCUUAACCCUGAAAUGGCAUUGAAUACUGCUGUGCUGGAGGUUUGGAGGGGGGACUGGAAUUCUUGGUGUAGCAGUGAAAUGCGUAGAUAUCAAGAGGAACACCAGUGGCGAAGGCGAGUCCCUGGAAAAUACCUGACACUGAGGCACGAAAGCUAGGGGAGCAAACAGG
rnacentral:rRNA from 1 species